GGAAUCCCUAAAUGGAUGCAACUAAAACCCCGAUUAAGAGCAUUUACAAAAAUUCAGAUGUUGGGUGUACAGACAACCCACUAAAAAUCUAUUCACAUGAUGGGGUAUGCAGCUAACAAAUGAUACUCUUGUAUUCCUAGUACCAUAAGAGCAUUGGUAAGACUCCCAUAAGUCAUCAAAUCUACAAAUGCAGAUCAUGCGUCACACUACUUCUAAAUGCUACUUCCUCAUCGUCCAAGGUUGUCAGCCGCCUCCUUUUCACAUUGUGUUCAGCAUCGGCUUCUGAGCCAGAACCAUUACCAAUGAGCAACAAGCUUUUACAGGCAAGGUUCACAUUUCCAUGCAUAUCAUAUGGGUUCUCCUGACCGGAGGUAACAGGACCAGUACCACUGUUAUCAUGAGUCUCAAUCGAGGAUUGUGCCAAAGUAAUGUCCAGCAGCUCGCCAGGAGUGGCAUGUCCAUCAACCAAACAGUCAAUACUCGACUUUGGCUGAUCAAUUUUCUCAUCUGUACUCAUAUUUUGAUCUACUUUGCACACUUCUGCAACCUCAGCUUCUAAUUGUUUCUGUGUCACGGACUGAAGUAGUUGGCGAUGAGUCAAAUUGCUCGUCCACAUCUUGGACAACUGACACAUCUGGGAUCCAGGAAGUUCCCGCAACAAGAGACCCAGAUGAAUAUGAAAAGGCACAGGGUUCAGAUCCAUUCCCACCCAGAUGCAGAAGGUCUCUGUCUGUUGCUGUGUACGCAAGAUGAUCUCCAGCUUCCAUCUCUUCCUGUAUUGGCGGUAAUGAACUCCUGAAUUCGUUAAAAGAUGCUGCAUGACCAAAACCCAUGUCAAGUAAAGGUUCUUCAUCAGAUUCAGACUCAAAAGAAUCAUUUAAACAAAAGCCUGAAUCAUUAGCACAAACACCCCUGAGAGAGGAAGUAGGAAAUGGGUUUAUCUCAAUAGCUUGAGAACGCGGUAAAUUGUCUG
rnacentral:misc_RNA from 1 species